UUAGCCAUUAUCUAUGGGAUUUUGAUGACAUUUACAUUCCCUUUCAUCUCUUGCCAUACCCAUCCCGAUUUGAGCCUGACUCAGAAAAUGGGAACCGGUUUAGAUGGAUAUGGGAGUAUCAGGCAAAUGGGGAGAACGAAGAUGAUCAGACAUCGGCAACAGUUUAUCCUAUUGAUGAGAUUGGCGAGACCAUCAGAUUCAGAGUUCAGAGUGUAAAUUAUCCUUCAAUCCCACUGGAGCAACCAAA